AGGACGAACGCUGGCGGCGUGCUUAACACAUGCAAGUGGAGCGACGAACCAGGGCUUGCCCUGGGGCAGAGCCGCGAACGGGUGAGUAACACGUGGGUUACCUGCCUCGAUGACCGGGACAACCCGAGGAAACUCGGGCUAAUACCGGAUGUGCCCGUAAGGGGAAAGGAAGCUUCGGCCUCCGCAUCGAGAUGGGCCCGCGGCCCAUUAGCUUGUUGGUGAGGUAACGGCUCACCAAGGCUUCGAUGGGUAGCUGGUCUGAGAGGACGAUCAGCCACACUGGGACUGAGACACGGCCCAGACUCCUACGGGAGGCAGCAGUGGGGAAUCUUGCGCAAUGCGCGAAAGCGUGACGCAGCAACGCCGCGUGGGGGAAGAAGGCUUUCGGGUUGUAAACCCCUUUCAGUUGGGACGAAGCUUCUUCGGUGAAUAGCCGAACGGAGUGACGGUACCUUCACAAGAAGCACCGGCUAGCUACGUGCCAGCAGCCG
rnacentral:rRNA from 1 species